AUUGAACGCUGGCGGCAUGCUUUACACAUUCAAGUCGAACGGCAGCGCGGGCUUCGGCCUGGCGGCGAGUGGCGAACGGGUGAGUAAUGCAUCGGAACGUGCCCAGUAGUGGGGGAUAGCCCGGCGAAAGCCGGAUUCAUACCGCAUACGACCUGAGGGUGCAAGCGGGGGACCGAAAGGCCUCGCGCUAUUGGAGCGGCCGAUGUCGGAUUAGCUAGUUGGUGGGGUAAAGGCUUACCAAGGCGACGAUCCGUAGCUGGUCUGAGAGGACGACCAGCCACACUGGGACUGAGACACGGCCCAGACUCCUAAGGGAGGCAGCAGUGGGGAAUUUUGGACAAUGGGGGCAACCCUGAUCCAGCCAUGCCGCGUGCGGGAAGAAGGCCUUCGGGUUGUAAACCGCUUUUGUUCGGGAAGAAAUCCUCUGGGCUAAUACCCCGGGGGGAUGACGGUACCGGAAGAAUAAGCACCGGCUAACUACGUG
rnacentral:rRNA from 1 species